rnacentral:rRNA from 1 species
UACGUAGGGGGCAAGCGUUGUCCGGAUUUAUUGGGCGUAAAGAGCGUGUAGGCGGUUAGGUAGGUCCGUUGUGAAAACUCGAGGCUCAACCUCGAGACGCCGAUGGAAACCAUCUAACUAGAGUCCGGAAGAGGAGAGUGGAAUUCCUGGUGUAGUGGUGAAAUACGUAGAUAUCAGGAGGAAUACCGGUGGCGAAGGCGGCUAUCUGGCCAUGUACUGACGCUGAGAUACGAAAGCGUGGGGAGCAAACAGG